GGAGUAAAGCUUAUUGUGAGAAGUCAGCAGAAGCCAUAGUACUUAAGUUCUUUUUAAGGAAGGGC
rnacentral:ncRNA from 1 species